rnacentral:misc_RNA from 1 species
AAAAUGCGAUAAGUAGCGUGAAUUGCAGACGCUUUGAACGCCGAAAUUUCGAACGCACAUUGCGCCAUAGGAGUUCUAUCCUAUGGCACAUCUGGUUGAGGGUCGUGAUCAAAAACAGCCAGGAUUGGGCUGUCUUAGAGCUAAUUGGUUGAUCAUCAGGCCGGCACACCUGACUAGUUGCCGGCGGUGUUCUACCAUCAUGCUAUAGAGGGCAUAACCAUUGAUUUAUGGGUGCUUCCUUACCACGCGGACGGGCAGCCAUUCGAUCUGCUAAGGGGUCGGCCGUCAGGUAUUUGAUUAUCGGUCUUUCGGGACUGUAUACCUGUACGGUCUAAACCGACCCAUUCGAAUGGUGAUAGGUCACCGUACGUGCAUGGUAGUUGAUCAAUCGCUUUCCCGA